rnacentral:rRNA from 1 species
CAAAAACAUUGCUUUUUGAAAAAAUCAUAAAAAGUAAUUCCUGCCCAGUGACACUGUUCAACGGCCGCGGUAUCCUAACCGUGCAAAGGUAGCAUAAUCACUUGCCCAUUAAUUGUGGGCUAGAAUGAACGGAUCAAUGAAAUAAAUCCUGUCUCGAUUAGAAAAAUAUAAAUUAUCUUCUAACUGAAGACUGUUAGAUAUAAUCGAAGGACAAGAAGACCCUAUAGAGCUUUAUUAUAACAUUUAUUCUAAAUGCUAAAAUUCGGUUGGGGCGACCAAGGAUAUAAAUUAACAUCCUUAAUAAAAAGAUCUAUUAAUCGCUAAAUUGACCCUCACACAGAGAUCAAUAAAACAAGCUACCUUAGGGAUAACAGGCUAAUCCUAUUAAAGAGUCCUUAUCAAUAAUAUGGGGUUGGCACCUCGAUGUUGGCUUAGGAAAUAAAUUUGGCGCAAAAGUCAAUUCUAACGGUUUGUUCAACCGAUAAUCUCCUACGUGAUCUGAGUUCAGACCGG